rnacentral:misc_RNA from 1 species
AAUCAGGUGGUUCAGGUCAUUUCAGUCCCUAUACAAACAUAAAACCCAAGCCCAGCCACAACUGAACCAAGCUGAAUGGAGAAAACACCAUGCCCAAACCCAACAUUUUAGCAGGCUGGUUGGGACAUCGGACCCAUGCACAUCUCCAGGAUAAACCCAGACCUCACCACCCUUGACAAAAGGAGGACCAACCCACAGUUACCCCGGG